CGGGAGGGAGCCGGCGGGCGGGGAAUCCCUCCCGCGCGCGCCCUCCCCUCGUUCUCCCCCUUCUUCCCCCUCCCCCUGUCGUCCCCCCUCUCCCUGCUGUCCCCCCGCCCCGGCGUCCCAAACUGCGCACAAUAGCGCGCCGGCUCGUCUAUCUAUUUUGUGUCCAGCCGGGAGCCGCGAACGAUGAUUCAUUGCCCCAAUUAGGGGCUCUCUCCAGCGCGCCCGGCUCGAGCCGUCUGAAGGGUCUCCUCAGGGGACCGCGGAAACCCAUCAACGGCUACAGCUGGUCUUUAAGUAAAGGUCAAGCAGGACGCAGGAGGAGCCAGGAUGCAAGCGUAGUGGACUUGAAAAGCCACGCCAGAUGCUUAUAGGCAGACCCAGCGCUGGGAACCUGGAGGAAACACUCCCUACCCCUGCCCCCCCGGUUCUGUAGGAGACCAGAAAUCAUCAGUGUGGAGCAUCUGGGCACAUCUCAUACUUGUGGCUUCCUGCAGGGUUGGCUCAGAAGCUUCAGGAAUCUGCCCUCACCCUGCUGGGAAAGUUAGUUUCUAGGAUUCGAGCAUUUAGCACAGAAUGAAGCAAGCACUUCUCUACCCUCCUCAGAAAGAGCUUCAAAUAUAGCAAGCCGCUGGCAAAAAGAAGUACAUUCUUCUCAGAGGAAGGAGUACAAGCGUUAAAGAAAAACAAACCUAGGAUUUACGGAGGCCUUGGGUUUAUGAACCAUUCCACACCUACUGGGUCGUACGACACAGUGAAGCAGGAAUCACAUCGCCAUCUCCACGUGGGAGAAGAGGACACUGCGGCUCAGGGGCACUAUACCUGGGACCAAGCUUUAUUGGGAUAUAUAAUUCACAUAGCAUGCAGUCCACCGGUUCUGUGGCGUACAAUUCCAUGGCUUCUAGGACGUUCAGACUUCUGCAGCCACAGUGGUUCCACCACAGUCCGUUUGAAAACACUGUCAUUCCCUCAGAAAGAAACCUCAUUCCUUUGAGCUACCAUUCCUCAGUCCCUCGGCCCCUGGAAACCACUGCUCUCCUGCCUCUCUCCAUGGACGUGCCCAUUCUGGAUGUGUCAUGUCAACGGAAUCACACAAGUGGUCUUUUGUGCCUGGCUUCUCUCACUCAGCGUGAUGUUUCCAGGGCUCGCCCAUGUUGUCGUGUGUGCCAGCGCAGACGGUUU